UUAUGGCCAUAUCACAUUGAAACACUGUUUCUCGUACGAUCACUAAAGUUAAGAAACAUCUAACCUGGUCAGUACCUAGAUGGGUGACCGCUUGGGAAAACCACGUGUUGUAA